rnacentral:sRNA from 1 species
GGUACCGGCGAAUUGCGGAUGAUCCAUUCGCGGAUGUUGUGAAUGUU